GACGAACCGAGCGAACGUUGUUCGGAAUCACUGGGCUUAAAGGGCGCGUAGGCGGGCUCGCAAGUCUGUGAUGAAAUCCUCCAGCCCAACUGGAGAAUGGCCGUGGAUACUGCGGGUCUCGAGGGAGGUAGGGGCGUGCGGAACAGAUGGUGGAGCGGUGAAAUGCGUUGAUAUCAUCUGGAACUCCGGUGGCGAAGGCGGCACGCUGGACCUCUUCUGACGCUGAGGCGCGAAAGCCAGGGGAGCAAACGGG
rnacentral:rRNA from 1 species